CUCCUCCUGGGGGGCUAUAGGUCACGUAUCUCCUCCCUAAGGGGGCUAUAGGUCACGUUUCUCCUCCUGGGGGGCUAUAGGUCACGUUUCUCCUCCCUAGGGGCUAUAGGGCAGGAUUACCCUCCCUCCCUAAGGGGGGCUAUAGGCCAGGAUUAGCCACGUUUAGGAGGCACAGGCCCCCUUGAUCCCGGAUGUCAAACAGAAAAAUGUGUCCUAUUUCCCACCCUUUGAGGGAAAUGGGACAAGGGAGAUGGGGGUGGGGGUCUUAAGCGGCGAAGACAUUCACCCAUCCAAGCAUUUCCAACGUAGCAAGAUCUGUGUCUGGU